rnacentral:rRNA from 1 species
UACGUAGGGUCCAAGCGUUGUUCGGAUUUACUGGGCGUAAAGGGCGCGUAGGCGGCCAUUCAAGUCAGCUGUGAAAUCUCCGGGCUUAACUCGGAACGGUCAGCUGAUACUGCUUUGCUAGAGUGCAGAAGGGGCAAUCGGAAUUCUUGGUGUAGCGGUGAAAUGCGUAGAUAUCAAGAGGAACACCUGAGGUGAAGACGGGUUGCUGGGCUGACACUGACGCUGAGGCGCGAAAGCUAGGGUAGCAAACGGG